rnacentral:tRNA from 1 species
GAAAUUUAAAAUUAAUAUAAAAGCUGCUAACUCUUUAUAAAAGCGGUUAAAAUCCGUUUAGAUUUCA